CAGCACGUCGCACCCAAUGCCUUUGCACUCAUAACGGGUGCCUCGGCUGCUGGGGCGGAGACUGGCCUCCCGUGAGCCUGCCGGCGCGCGGUUGGCCUAAAGAGGGAGAUCAUGGCGACGAGGGCCACGGCGUUAGGUGGUUGGUUGUCCCGGGCUUUAUCCCGGGCACGGAUCACGCCGUGUGCCUUAGGCCGUCCGUGCUUCUCGUAGGGCCUUGAAGAAGCCGCUCGAACGGCUUUACGGAU
rnacentral:misc_RNA from 1 species